rnacentral:rRNA from 1 species
GACGAACGCUGGCGGCGUGCUUAACACAUGCAAGUGGUGCGACGAACCAGGGCUUGCCCUGGGGCAGAGCCGCGAACGGGUGAGUAACACGUGGGCAACCUGCCCCGAUGACUGGGACGAACCCGGGGAAACCCGGGGCCGUAAUACCGGAUGUGCUCCCUCACACCAGUGAGGUGAGUAAAGGAAGCUUCGGCCUCCGCAUUGGGAUGGGCCCGCGGCCCAUUAGCUUGUUGGUGGGGUAAUGGCCACCAAGGCAACGAUGGGUAGCUGGUCUGAGAGGACGAUCGGCCACACUGGGACUGAGACACGGCCCAGACUCCUACGGGAGGCAGCAGUGGGGAAUCUUGCGCAAUGCGCGAAAGCGUGACGCAGCAACGCCGCGUGGGGAAGAAGGCCUCGGUUGUAACCCUUAC